rnacentral:rRNA from 1 species
AAUGAACGCUGGCGGCAGGCCUAACACAUGCAAGUCGAACGGAUCCUUCGGGAUUAGUGGCGGACGGGUGAGCAACGCGUGGGAACAUACCCUUUGGUACGGAAUAGCCUCGGGAAACUGGGAGUAAUACCGUAUGUGGUCGAGAGACGAAAGAUUUAUCGCCAAAGGAUUGGCCCGCGUUGGAUUAGGUAGUUGGUGGGGUAAUGGCCUACCAAGCCGACGAUCCAUAGCUGGUGUGAGAGGAUGAUCAGCCACACUGGGACUGAGACACGGCCCAGACUCCUACGGGAGGCAGCAGUGGGGAAUCUUAGACAAUGGGGGAAACCCUGAUCUAGCCAUGCCGCGUGAUCGAUGAAGGCCUUAGGGUUGUAAAGAUCUUUCAGGUGGGAAGAUAAUGACUGUACCACCAGAAGAAGCCCCGGCUAACUCCGUGCCAGCCGCCGCAGUAA